CCUACGGGUGGCAGCAGUCGAGAAUCAUUCACAAUGGGGGAAACCCUGAUGGUGCGACGCCGCGUGGGGGAAUGAAGUUCUUCGGAUUGUAAACCCCUGUCAUGUGGGAGCAAAUUAAAAAGAUAGUACCACACGAGGAAGAGACGGCUAACUCUGUGCCAGCAGCCGCGGUAAUACAGAGGUCUCAAGCGUUUGUCGGAAUCACUGGGCGUAAAGCGUGCGUAGGCUGUUUCGUAAGUCGUGUGUGAAAGGCGCGGGCUCAACCCGCGGACGGCACAUGAUACUGCGAGACUAGAGUAAUGGAGGGGGAACCGGAAUUCUCGGUGUAGCAGUGAAAUGCGUAGAUAUCGAGAGGAACACUCGUGGCGAAGGCGGGUUCCUGGACAUUAACUGACGCUGAGGCACGAAGGCCAGGGGAGCGAAAGGGAUUAGAUACCCCAGUAGUC
rnacentral:rRNA from 1 species